rnacentral:rRNA from 1 species
CAGUCGCCGCGGGAAUACGUAGGUGGCAAGCGUUGUCCGGAAUUAUUGGGCGUAAAGCGCGCGCAGGUGGUUUAAUAAGUCUGAUGUGAAAGCCCACGGCUCGACCGUGGAGGGUCAUUGGAAACUGUUAAACUUGAGUGCAGGAGAGAAAAGUGGAAUUCCUAGUGUAGCGGUGAAAUGCGUAGAGAUUAGGAGGAACACCAGUGGCGAAGGCGGCUUUUUGGCCUGUAACUGACACUGAGGCGCGAAAGCGUGGGGAGCAAACAGGAUUAGAUACCCCCGUAGUCCCUGUCUCUUAUAC